rnacentral:rRNA from 1 species
CCGCAAUGGGCGAAAGCCUGACGGAGCGACGCCGCGUGAGCGAAGAAGGCCUUCGGGUCGUAAAGCUCGAUAGUGUGGGAAGAAGGAAUGACGGUACCACACGAAAGCCCCGGCUAACUACGUGCCAGCAGCCGCGGUAAGACGUAGGGGGCGAGCGUUGUCCGGAGUUACUGGGCGUAAAGGGCGCGUAGGCGGUCUAGCAAGUCAGGUGUAAAAGGCCACGGCUCAACCGUGGAUAUGCAUCUGAAACUGCUAGGCUAGAGGGCAGGAGAGGGGAGUGGAAUUCCCGGUGUAGCGGUGAAAUGCGUAGAUAUCGGGAGGAAUACCAGUGGCGAAGGCGACUCCCUGGACUGGCCCUGACGCUGAGGCGCGAG